rnacentral:rRNA from 1 species
AACGAACGCUGGCGGCAUGCCUAACACAUGCGAGUCGAACGAGACCUUCGGGUCUAGUGGCGCACGGGUGCGUAACGCGUGGGAACCUGCCCUUAGGUUCGGAAUAACUCCCCGAAAGGGGUGCUAAUACCGGAAAAUGUCUUCGGACCAAAGAUUUAUCGCCUUUGGAUGGGCCCGCGUUGGAUUAGCUAGUUGGUAGGGUAAAAGCCUACCAAGGCGACGAUCCAUAGCUGGUCUGAGAGGAUGAUCAGCCACACUGGGACUGAGACACGGCCCAGACUCCUACGGGAGGCAGCAGUGGGGAAUAUUGGACAAUGGGCGAAAGCCUGAUCCAGCAAUGCCGCGUGAGUGAUGAAGGCCUUAGGGUUGUAAAGCUCUUUUACCCGGGAUGAUAAUGACAGUACCGGGAGAAUAAGCGCCGGCUAACUCCGUG